UACGUAGGGGGCUAGCGUUGUCCGGAAUUAUUGGGCGUAAAGAGCGUGUAGGCGGUCCGGUAAGUCCGCUGUGAAAGUCCAGGGCUCAACCCUGGAAUGCCGGUGGAUACUGCCGGGCUAGAGUCCGGAAGAGGCGAGUGGAAUUCCUGGUGUAGCGGUGAAAUGCGCAGAUAUCGGGAGGAACACCUAUGGCGAAGGCAGCUCGCUGGGACGUUACUGACGCUGAGACGCGAAAGCGUGGGGAGCAAACGGGAUUAGA
rnacentral:rRNA from 1 species